GACGAACGCUGGCGGCGUGCUUAACACAUGCAAGUCGAACGAUGAAGAAAAGAAUCGAAGCUUCGGCAGAAAUUCAUUUCGGAUUAGUGGCAGACGGGUGAGUAACGCGUGAGCAACCUACCUCUUACAAAGGGAUAGCCUCGGGAAACCGGGAUUAAUACCAUAUAACAUUGCGACGAAGCAUUUCGAUGCAAUCAAAGCUACGGCGGUAAGAGAUGGGCUCGCGUCCCAUUAACCGGAUGGUGAGGUAACGGCUCACCAUAGUGACGAUGGGUAACCGGCCUGAGAGGGUGAACGGUCACACUGGAACUGAGACACGGUCCAGACUCCUACGGGAAGCAGCAGUGGGGAAUAUUGCACAAUGGAGGGAACUCUGAUGCAGCGACGCCGCGUGAGUGAUGAAGGAAUUCGUUUCGUAAAACUCUGUUCUAUGGGAAGAAAAGGACUGUACCAUAGGAGAAAGCUCCGGCUAAAUACGUG
rnacentral:rRNA from 1 species